GGGCCCGCACAAGCGGUGGAGCAUGUGGUUUAAUUCGAUGCAACGCGAAGAACCUUACCAGGACUUGACAUACUACAAAUUCUUUUGAGAAAAAGAAGUGCCUUCGGGAAUGUAGAUACAGGUGGUGCAUGGCUGUCGUCAGCUCGUGUCGUGAGAUGUUGGGUUAAGUCCCGCAACGAGCGCAACCCUUAUUUUUAGUUACCAAUUCGUUGGGUUCUCUAGAAAGACUGCCGGUGACAAACCGGAGGAAGGUGAGGAUGACGUCAAGUCAGCAUGCCCCUUAUGUCCUGGGCUACACACGUGCUACAAUGGUUAAGACAAAGAGUCGCGAGCUCGCAAGAGUCAGCUAAUCUCAUAAACUCGGUCUCAGUUCGGAUUGCAGGCUGCAACUCGCCUGCAUG
rnacentral:rRNA from 1 species